rfam:Microvirga sp. V5/3M plasmid unnamed1, complete sequence.
GAGAGCCGGAUGCGGUAGCGCCGCACGUCCGGUUCGAUGAGAGGGGAUGGGAAACGGGGCGUUGCCGAAUGGCCCAAGCUACCGCGCCCAUCCUCGACUCUAC